rnacentral:lncRNA from 1 species
AACCAAAAGGAAUAACCCUACAAAAUGUUAAAUUAUUACAGUGUAGAGCUAUUAUGCUAUCAAAAGUAUAAAGAAUUUGAUGUUUCUGAUUUUUUACCAUUGGAUCAAGAAUUGUACGGUUUAGAUGAUUGCUAUCCCCCUUAGGGUUGAGUAGUAUCCCCUAGAGUUUAGUGGUUCCCACAGGAUAAUAGUAUUAAUUCAAAGGUUAGAAAUGAUUAAAAGGACUGAUCUAAGGGCCAAAAAGUCGGAAGCACUAGAUCCUCCAUGAUUCAAAUAGUAUAGUAGCUCUACUCAUUAUUACAUGGCAGGAAAUUAAUCAGACUAGAAACUUUCUGUUCUGACAUUAUGUUAAAAUAAUAUAAAACGACCAUACUUUUCUAAGAGCUUAAUUUACCAGAGAAUGAUAUUUUUACUUUUUUAUUGAACACAAAAUUUGACCAACAAA